UCAAUGGUCAAGCGUUGGCUUUGAAAGCCACAGGUCGGUGGUUCAAUUCCACCCGGGCACA
rnacentral:tRNA from 1 species